UACGUAGGGUCCGAGCGUUGUCCGGAAUUACUGGGCGUAAAGAGCUCGUAGGUGGUUUGUCGCGUUGUUCGUGAAAACUCACAGCUCAACUGUGGGCGUGCGGGCGAUACGGGCAGACUAGAGUACUGCAGGGGAGACUGGAAGUUCCUGGUGUAGCGGUGGAAUGCGCAGAUAUCAGGAGGAACACCGGUGGCGAAGGCGGGUCUCUGGGCAGUAACUGACGCUGAGGAGCGAAAGCGUGGGGAGCAAACAGG
rnacentral:rRNA from 1 species